UACGUAGGUGGCAAGCGUUAUCCGGAUUUAUUGGGCGUAAAGCGAGCGCAGGCGGUUGCUUAGGUCUGAUGUGAAAGCCUUCGGCUUAACCGAAGAAGUGCAUCGGAAACCGGGCGACUUGAGUGCAGAAGAGGACAGUGGAACUCCAUGUGUAGCGGUGGAAUGCGUAGAUAUAUGGAAGAACACCAGUGGCGAAGGCGGCUGUCUGGUCUGCAACUGACACUGAGGCGCGAAAGCGUGGGGAGCAAACAGG
rnacentral:rRNA from 1 species